UCGAGCGGACAGAAGGGAGCUUGCUCCCGGAUGUUAGCGGCGGACGGGUGAKUAACACGUGGGUAACCUGCCUGUAAGACUGGGAUAACUCCGGGAAACCGGAGCUAAUACCGGAUAGUUCCUUGAACCGCAUGGUUCAAGGAUGAAAGACGGUUUCGGCUGUCACUUACAGAUGGACCCGCGGCGCAUUAGCUAGUUGGUGGGGUAAUGGCUCACCAAGGCGACGAUGCGUAGCCGACCUGAGAGGGUGAUCGGCCACACUGGGACUGAGACACGGCCCAGACUCCUACGGGAGGCAGCAGUAGGGAAUCUUCCGCAAUG
rnacentral:rRNA from 1 species